GAUUUCUGAGCUUGCCUAUUCGAUUUUUGAAUUGGCAUUUUCGAACUCUGAGCUCACCUCUUCGAUCUCUGAAAUCCCGUCGAGUGCUGAUUUUAUAGAGGCACGCAGUUCGUUUCAAAGCACACUUGAAUUUUAGCUUUGUAGAAACUCCCUUCUUGCACUUCAUAGAUCUUGAUUCGUCCGACCUCUUCUUUCUUCAACACCCUU
rnacentral:lncRNA from 1 species